rnacentral:tRNA from 1 species
ACUCCCUUAGUAUAAUCAAUACAACUNACUUC